rnacentral:rRNA from 1 species
AGCGUACACGGUGGAUGCCCUGGCAGUCAGAGGCGAUGAAGGACGUGCUAAUCUGCGAUAAGCGUCGGUAAGGUGAUAUGAACCGUUAUAACCGGCGAUUUCCGAAUGGGGAAACCCAGUGUGWUUCGWCACACUAUCAUUAACUGAAUCCAUAGGUUAAUGAGGCGAACCGGGGGAACUGAAACAUCUAAGUACCCCGAGGAAAAGAAAUCAACCGAGAUUCCCCCAGUAGCGGCGAGCGAACGGGGAGCAGCCCAGAGCCUGAAUCAGUGUGUGUGUUAGUGGAAGCGUCUGGAAAGRCGCGCGAUACAGGGUGACAGCCCCGUACACAAAAAUGCACAUGCUGUGAGCUCGAUGAGUAGGGCGGGACACGUGGUAUCCUGUCUGAAUAUGGGGGGACCAUCCUCCAAGGCUAAAUACUCCUGACUGACCGAUAGUGAACCAGUACCGUGAGGGAAAGGCGAAAAGAACCCCGGCGAGGGGAGUGAAAAAGAACCUGAAACCGUGUACGUACAAGCAGUGGGAGCACAGAGCAAUCUGUGUGACUGCGUACCUUUUGUAUAAUGGGUCAGCGACUUAUAUUCUGUAGCAAGGUUAACCGAAUAGGGGAGCCGAAGGGAAACCGAGUCUUAACUGGGCGUUAAGUUGCAGGGUAUAGACCCGAAACCCGGUGAUCUAGCCAUGGGCAGGUUGAAGGUUGGGUAACACUAACUGGAGGACCGAACCGACUAAUGUUGAAAAAUUAGCGGAUGACUUGUGGCUGGGGGUGAAAGGCCAAUCAAACCGGGAGAUAGCUGGUUCUCCCCGAAAGCUAUUUAGGUAGCGCCUCGUGAAUUCAUCUCCGGGGGUAGAGCACUGUUUCGGCAAGGGGGUCAUCCCGACUUACCAACCCGAUGCAAACUGCGAAUACCGGAGAAUGUUAUCACGGGAGACACACGGCGGGUGCUAACGUCCGUCGUGAAGAGGGAAACAACCCAGACCGCCAGCUAAGGUCCCAAAGUCAUGGUUAAGUGGGAAACGAUGUGGGAAGGCCCAGACAGCCAGGAUGUUGGCUUAGAAGCAGCCAUCAUUUAAAGAAAGCGUAAUAGCUCACUGGUCGAGUCGGCCUGCGCGGAAGAUGUAACGGGGCUAAACCAUGCACCGAAGCUGCGGCAGCGACRCUKAUGYGUUGUUGGGUAGGGGAGCGUUCUGUAAGCCUGUGAAGGUGURCUGUGAGGYAUGCUGGAGGUAUCAGAAGUGCGAAUGCUGACAUAAGUAACGAUAAAGCGGGUGAAAAGCCCGCUCGCCGGAAGACCAAGGGUUCCUGUCCAACGUUAAUCGGGGCAGGGUGAGUCGACCCCUAAGGCGAGGCCGAAAGGCGUAGUCGAUGGGAAACAGGUUAAUAUUCCUGUACUUGGUGUUACUGCGAAGGGGGGACGGAGAAGGCUAUGUUGGCCGGGCGACGGUUGUCCCGGUUUAAGCGURUAGGCUGGUUUUCCAGGCAAAUCCGGAAAAYYAAGGCUGAGGCGUGAUGACGAGGCACUACGGUGCUGAAGCAACAAAUGCCCUGCUUCCAGGAAAAGCCUCUAAGCAUCAGGUAACAUCAAAUCGUACCCCAAACCGACACAGGUGGUCAGGUAGAGAAUACCAAGGCGCUUGAGAGAACUCGGGUGAAGGAACUAGGCAAAAUGGUGCCGUAACUUCGGGAGAAGGCACGCUGAUAUGUAGGUGAAGUCCCUCGCGGAUGGAGCUGAAAUCAGUCGAAGAUACCAGCUGGCUGCAACUGUUUAUUAAAAACACAGCACUGUGCAAACACGAAAGUGGACGUAUACGGUGUGACGCCUGCCCGGUGCCGGAAGGUUAAUUGAUGGGGUUAGCGCAAGCGAAGCUCUUGAUCGAAGCCCCGGUAAACGGCGGCCGUAACUAUAACGGUCCUAAGGUAGCGAAAUUCCUUGUCGGGUAAGUUCCGACCUGCACGAAUGGCGUAAUGAUGGCCAGGCUGUCUCCACCCGAGACUCAGUGAAAUUGAACUCGCUGUGAAGAUGCAGUGUACCCGCGGCAAGACGGAAAGACCCCGUGAACCUUUACUAUAGCUUGACACUGAACAUUGAGCCUUGAUGUGUAGGAUAGGUGGGAGGCUUUGAAGUGUGGACGCCAGUCUGCAUGGAGCCGACCUUGAAAUACCACCCUUUAAUGUUUGAUGUUCUAACGUUGACCCGURAUCCGGGUUGCGGACAGUGUCUGGUGGGUAGUUUGACUGGGGCGGUCUCCUCCUAAAGAGUAACGGAGGAGCACGAAGGUUGGCUAAUCCUGGUCGGACAUCAGGAGGUUAGUGCAAUGGCAUAAGCCAGCUUGACUGCGAGCGUGACGGCGCGAGCAGGUGCGAAAGCAGGUCAUAGUGAUCCGGUGGUUCUGAAUGGAAGGGCCAUCGCUCAACGGAUAAAAGGUACUCCGGGGAUAACAGGCUGAUACCGCCCAAGAGUUCAUAUCGACGGCGGUGUUUGGCACCUCGAUGUCGGCUCAUCACAUCCUGGGGCUGAAGUAGGUCCCAAGGGUAUGGCUGUUCGCCAUUUAAAGUGGUACGCGAGCUGGGUUUAGAACGUCGUGAGACAGUUCGGUCCCUAUCUGCCGUGGGCGCUGGAGAACUGAGGGGGGCUGCUCCUAGUACGAGAGGACCGGAGUGGACGCAUCACUGGUGUUCGGGUUGUCAUGCCAAUGGCACUGCCCGGUAGCUAAAUGCGGAAGAGAUAAGUGCUGAAAGCAUCUAAGCACGAAACUUGCCCCGAGAUGAGUUCUCCCUGACUCCUUGA